CAAGCAUUGACUUAAAGGAUCACGCCAACUUAUUGGGAAUUUAGCUUAUUCACUGUUACCCCCAGAGUUAGAUAAGUCUGUACAUACCCUUCUUGUCUCCGUGCGUGAUGGUACUCUGUCUGACGGCCCCAGCGUUAGCUUACCCUAGCAAAGAACCUGCAGAUAACUGGUUCCAACUAGCUACUGCUCCCAAUAAGUGACACAAUAACGCCAACAUGUUCCUAUUUACAUGUUGUGU